AGAAAUAUUCGUUGACCCAUAGAUAUGUAUAGAUGCCCCAUUCGACGGCUCCAGGCAUGUAGAUGCGGCCGCCAUCUUGGAACGGUCAACUUGACGUCAUUCACCAUACUGUAGGUUCUCACAGAGCCAUUGAGCCGUUCUGUGCAGGAUUGUGGCAUCUUUCGAAUAUUCAGUGAUUACUAUGGUGAAUGACGUCAA